GGGCGCGGGGGUGGUUGGGGACAAUUAACUCCCGUGGCGAUGUGUUGGGAGAGAGGCAAAAGUGGGUUACUUGGGUAUUUUAACUCAAUAAACAUCCCCGACGACUGAGAAAGAAGCGACGGGAUCGUGAACUUCCCGCCGGGUAGAAACGCCGCGGUGGGCCCCGCAGCGUGCGCUCUGGAAAGAAUUAAUUUUAGUGUUACUCGCCGCGCGGGUCGGCCGGCCAGAGGCGGGGACCCCUCGGAACACCGUCCCGGAGCAGGAAGAGGGAAAUUUGGACGCACACACCCAGGAAGAAUGCUGUCUGAAUACUGAGGCAGAGAUUGGAGUUAUCCUGCCCCAAGCCGAAGAAUGCCAAGAAUUGCUGGCCACCCACAGAAGCCGGGAGCAAGGUGCAGAGCAGAUUCUCCCUCUGAGCCCCUAAUGUUGCAGGAUCGCAGGGUUCUCGUCGGAGUCGAAGAAUGAAUCUCAUGGACACAAAAGAGUGAAGUGAAGUGAACUUUUAUUAAGUGAAGUGUUUGGUAACCACACUGAUGGAGUUGGAAGGAACCGGGAGUUUUCUGAAGAAAGGGGCUUCAUCAGGUGGCGCCACAGGCUCAUGGAUGGGCCUUCCUCAGCUCGCCGGGUGGCCACCUGUGCAACACUCGGAAUGAAGAGAAGGAAGAAGGCUUCUGCUUCUACGCUUCUCCUCCGGGGUUCAUCCGG